GUAUUUCUCAAAAGUGCAGUUCCUGGGCCCAGGUCACGAGAAUCAUCUGAAAUGUAAGUUCUUGCCUCCCUCCAGAUUUGUUGAAUCAGAAGCCCUGGAAGCUCCGCCUGUGAUUUUGAUGUUCCUUCAGACCCCAGACCUUUGCCCAUGUUGGUCUGUUUGCUGGAAUGACCGUUUUUGAGGUCUACUUGAGACCUCGCUCAAACUUCACUUUCUUAAGGGAGACUUCCCAGGAUGCCCCAAAUUAAAUUAAGUUCUCCUUUUCCUACCAUUUCAGAGUAUCUUCUUUUUACCAUUGUCAAAGAACUUGCUACACUUUCCAUACACCUGGCAUCGCUGCAUGAGGCCAUCCUUGACCAGUAUGUGGAGCUGACAAGUUCCAGACUUUUUCCUGCUGAAGAAGAGGCUGAGCAUGAGCAGAGACCAAAAAAACGGUGGCCAACAGUGACAGCACAGAAAAGGCCAGCGCUGCUCAACCCCGGGCUCCCCCUUCUGUUUCUUCUCCUGUCAACUUGGAAGACCCACCCCACCCACUCCUCAUAUAAUUGAUAGGGCACUGUCAGGCAGGUGGUGUAAGUGGUUUAUUUUAGAGAAGGUUAUUACUGGCCACAAAACUUCAAGUCAGCUAUUUUCAAGGACCCUUAGGAAGGAAGUGCCUGUUUAGGGUGUCCACCCUCGAAAGCCCAGGACAGAGGUCUUACUGUACUUCUGCACCCAACCACAUUUAAUCCAUUCAUAAGGCUCCUUUGUGAGAUGCCACAUCAGAGUAAACCAAUGUUGGAUAUUGCAAACAGCUUUGAAGAAUGUCUUUCCCUUAGAACUGCACAGUUCUGAGAGCAGAAUGGUGUCCCCACACAUUGUUAUGACUUGACAUCUCCAGUGUGAAAAGUUUCCAUCAAGCUAUGAUAAGAAAAGGCUGGGCUUUUUACUCUCGUGGAAACCACAGCAGAAGAAAGCCAUUAUGCUACCUCUUCACUUAGCCUCUUCCUGUAAAUACAAGUGCAUUAGAGAGAAACAGGUCCAAGUUUGGGGAAGUGAGUUGGUAACUCUUAAAAAUCAGGCAGUGAAAAACUGAAAGUUCAGUUUUACAAUGAGUGGUAAUGUGGACAACAGAAAGGGAACAUAUGUCUCACAGAGAGGAAGAUACUCUGUGACCCAGUGGUGAAUUUUAGAUUUUGAAUUUUUGGGAAUGAAAACAAAGAUUUAACUUUAAGAACUGACAUGCCAACUGUUUUGCUUUUUGUUUUGUAAUUAGGACACUGAGGAAAAAAAGACUAUCAUUUUAAACUUCAUCAUCAUCUUAUAACACAAAGGACAGUAUGACAUUAAAAAAUAAGGCAUAAUCUCACAAAGAACAUUUUUUUGGUAGUGGUGUUGGAGAUCAAACUUAGGGCUUCAUACAUGAUAGACAUAUGCUCUAAAACCAGGCUACAUCUCUUCAUAAGAAUCUUUUUUUUUCUUUUGUACUAGGGAUUGAAUCCAGGGCCUUCACACUUAGCUAUAUCCCCAACCCCUCUUUGUUUUGGUACCUGGAAUCGAACUCGGGACCUUGCGCUUUUAAGGUAGGCGCCGGAACCACUGAGCUAAAUCCCCACCCUUCUCUAACCCUUUUAAUUUUGAAAUAGAGCCUUGCUAAGUUGUCCAGUCUGGGCUUGAACUUGGCAGUCCUUCUGCCUCAGCCUCCUGGAGUGCUGGGAUUACAGGUGUGGGCUCCCAAGGCCUGCCCAAGUAUCAUUUGCUAUAUGUGGGAAAAUUCUCUUGAUGUAAAAGGUCGGUAUUUCUGAUUUUUUUUUUCUAUUGCACAACAGAUCUGCAAGCAUGUCUUUCCUAGUGCCAGUACACCUGGUGUUAGCACGUGGAGGAUGAAGUCAGAUGAGCUGGGUGACGUCCAUGCCUUGUCGGUGGCUGGCUGUGUGGCGUUGGGUCAGUCAUUUGCCCAAGUUUGUGCAUGUAUGCAAUGUGGAUGGGAGUGACACCUACCCACUAUAAGGCUGGCAGGUUGGUGGCUUACUAUGACAGGAGCGUGCAGCACUUGGCAGCUUUUGUCAUCAGACCUCUGACACAGCCAUCUUAGCCACCAAGAAGAUAGAAGACAGAGUUAAAGCAGAAGUGUUCACCUGGCUGACUUAAGAGGAACACAGUUGUGUUAGUUACUUUUCUCUUGUACCUGAGACAAAAUACCCAACACCCAAAGUUAAAGGGGGAAAGGUUUAUUUGGCUUACAGUUCGUAAAGGUUUCAGUCCAUAAUCAGCUGGCUCCAAGCCAGGGUGGCAGAGGAGAAACAGUUCAUAGCAGCAUAAGACAGCUAAAGCAACAAGAGACCCUAACAGCAUCUUUCUGCCCCUUUUAUCCCAUCCAGACUACCGGGAUUAGGGCGGUGCCAAACCAGUCUCUCACUUACAGUGGUUUAGUAAUCACAUGCCCUUAAUCCCAGCAUCACACAUUCCAGAUUCAGCCACUUCUGAAAAAGAAAGUCCCCCCUCAUCUGCAUGAGGCUUUGGGGGGACUUCUAAACACAAGCCACAACAACAGUUUUUUAUCAUUUACAUUUAUAAGCAAAUCAUUUGGGAAUAAAGAAUGUAAAUUUAGAAGAAGAGAAAGAAUGUCUCAUGAAAGUAUAGGUGGCUGCAUGGAAGAUGAGUUCUGAGACUUGCAUUGUCACCUGCAAGCAGAGGGACAGAGGGGGAAGGGACACAAUCUGGACUCCAAGAGCUGCUUUGUAGUUAGCUGGGGACAGGAUGGAGCUCCCUGGAUCCUUAGGUGCAGUAAUGGUUUUCCUACCAUGCAUCAUCUUUCCCUUAUGGUCAUUUAUUAAAUUCUGGUUAAUGACUCCUCUUUCCCACUACUUCUAUCUAGAAACUCAUGUUCCCUCAGCCACCAUCCUUUUCACCUGAUAAACUCUGUUCAUCCUUCAAGGUGUCUUCUUUAUAAAAAAUUUCUUUUUGGGAGAUUUAGCUCAGUGGUGCUACCGCUUGCUUUGCAAGCACAAAGUCCCAAGUUUGAUCCCCAGUACCAAAAAAAAAAUUUCUACUUUCUGCCAUUUUCUUAAAUCUUUUACAGCAAAUUGUUAUUUUACAAAAUUGUCUGUCUUUUCCAAGAAUCUGAGUUCUUCAGAAACAGUUACCAUCUUACUGCGAAGUCUUACUUGGUCACAGGGCCAUGCUUAGUAUGAAGGGAGCAGUUAAUUUUGGACUAGACAUUGAAUAAAUGCUGUGAGUGAGUGAAGGUCCAGUUUUAGGUGGACAGGAUUUAGGCAGUGUGUUGUCCUAGUCUGUGUUCCCCUUACCUCGUACAGUAACAUUCUGACCCCUUCACCUUGGAAUGUGGCUGUAUUUGGAUACAAGGUCUUUACAGAGGAGACUGAAUGAAAAUGAGGCUACGGUUAGGGUGGACUGAAUCCCAUCUGGCUGGUGUCCUUUAUGGGAAGAGACACCAGAAGAUCAGGGCACAUAAAGCAACACUAGGGAUUCAUGGGCCCAGGGAAAAGACCACACAAGGACACAGUGAGAAGACUGCCAUCUGCAAGGCCACCCAAGGAGAAGGGCUCAGGAGAAUCCAAAAUCUGAGACCCUGAUCUUAGGCUUUUAUCCUGCAGAACCCUGAGAAACUACAUUUCUGUUGUUUAAGUCACUUAGCCUGUGGUACGUAGUUACGGCAGCUUUAGCAGACGAAUCCACAGAUUAAUGGAAGCAAGCCAUUUCUGGGGAAAUGUCCAUAUAUUUUCAACCGAUGUGAAAGGAGGACUUAAAGGGAUGAAGUUAUAGCAUAUCACUUCACUGGUAAUAAUAGCGUUUUAUUAGUAGCUUACUGUAUGCUGAUCAUUGUCAAAGUGGCUUACAUGCAUUAUCGUAUUUCGUUUUUACAAUAAUGCCAGGAGAUACUACUGCCAUGCCCAUUUUAUAAAUGAAGAAAUGAGAUUUGGAAGGGUUGAGUAAAAUCUCAGAGAUCACCCAGGCUCUGAGCAGUGGCCCAGGACUUGUAACCGGUCUGAUUCUCAGGCUCAGGUGCAUAUUCUACCAUUUUGCCAGGUUAUAUCCAUCCCAGAACAGUCCAGAACACCAGUGUAGAAUUUGAAUGGUUUCAGAGGCAUGUUUUCUCAAAAGCAUUAAACUUCAAAGGAACAUGCCUUCAGAAAUUUAUGGAAAUAUUAGAGCUGAGACUCUGAAAGUUUGCUGAUGGAUGAAAUUAAAUAUUUGGGAACUUGUGAAGACGUUUAUAGGGAGACAAAAUUGAUUUUGCAGUAGGCACUAACUCUGUAAAGCAAACAGUUGCAAAUGUAGGAUCUGUAAAAAAAAAUGUGGAAGAUUCUACCUACAACAUCCCCAAUUAGUAGUUUUUAUGUAAAGGGCUAACCUUCUAUGAAUCUAGCAGCAAAAGAACCAGUGCUCAUUAGCAUUGUCAACACUCUCUUAUAAAUGAAAUGCACAAAAUAGGCUCAAUUCCAGGUUUUUUCACUUAAAAAUCUUAGUUCUCUUUUUUCAUCUUACAGAGUUAAACUUAAUAAACAAGUAAAGAUAUAUAUUUUUCUCACUAGGAAUUUCUAUGGUAAAGACACAUUAAAAAAGCUUUUAAAAAAUCUGUUUUUAUUAACGAAAACACACUGUUUAAUUAUACCACUGAUUACUAUCUUUUCCUGAUUCAAAAGUCUAGAAGGAGUCUAUUAACUGAAAAUUCAAUGCAAUUGAAAAUCAACCACAAUAAAAUCUUGGAAGAAUAGAAUGCUUUGCCACAAAAACAUUUUGCUUUUUGACCUCUGUUCAUCCCUUUAGUGUUUUCUAACUUUCUUGAAGAUCAGGUUUAUGUCAACCAUUGCUUCCAUAUUAUCUACAGUUUCUAGCACCGGUUGAAUUAGACUAAAUUCUCCCUUUCCUGGAAUUGGCCCCUGUUAUUGAUCAGUUUCCUCAGAAGUCAGUACUACCUUUGCUUUUGGAAUAGCUGAGGGAAAUCUGAUUCUUUUCUUUCUUUUUUUUUUUUUUUCUUUCACCAAGACUGCUCUUAGUAUAUUUCAUGUCCAUCCCUGCCUUAAGUUCACUUCCACAAGCUAAAAGUCUGACUGGCCUGAAAUCUGUAUGUAAUAUGACAAAUGCGAUUUUAACCUUUAUAGACAAAAGACUACUCUUUAUCCUCUACUGUCCGGAUUUCUUUGGAGGAAAAUAUCAAUUAAUUGCAAGAAGGAGUAUACUGGCUAUAAUUAUGUGGUCUGUGUAAGAAAAGCCUAGCUCAAGCCCAAGAACACAGCUUCUUUUACAAAGCAAGACAAGACUCAGGUGUAUAAAAGCAGCAGUGGGAAUCAGACUAGGGAGAGAAACCCACUCAGAUGUCACUAAGUUUUAUUAUGAAAGUAACAAUAGCAUGAAGUCACUUUUUAAAAAAAUUCAGAAACAACCUACACUUAUUCUCAGUUAGAACUCAUUAUUGGUCCCUGGUUGAACUUUAGAAAGAUUUGAG
rnacentral:lncRNA from 1 species